rnacentral:rRNA from 1 species
CAGCCGCCACGGGAAUACGGAGGGUGCAAGCGUUAAUCGGAAUUACUGGGCGUAAAGCGCACGCAGGCGGUCUGUCAAGUCAGAUGUGAAAUCCCCGGGCUUAACCUGGGAACUGCAUUUGAAACUGGCAGGCUAGAGUCUUGUAGAGGGGGGUAGAAUUCCAGGUGUAGCGGUGAAAUGCGUAGAGAUCUGGAGGAAUACCGGUGGCGAAGGCGGCCCCCUGGACAAAGACUGACGCUCAGGUGCGAAAGCGUGGGGAGCAAACAGGAUUAGAUACCCGUGUAGUCCCUGUCUCUUAUAA